AGCGAACGCUGGCGGCAGGCUUAACACAUGCAAGUCGAGCGGGCAUCUUCGGAUGUCAGCGGCAGACGGGUGCGUAACACGUGGGAACGUACCCUUCGGCUCGGCACAACUCUGGGAAACUGGAGCUAAUACCGGAUACGCCCUGAUGGGGAACGGUUUACUGCCGAAGGAUCGGCCCGCGUCUGAUUAGCAAGAUGAGGGGGUAACCGCUGACCAAGUCGGCGAUCUGUAGCUGUACCGAGAGGAUGAACAGCCACACUGGGACUGGGACACGACCCCGACUCCUACGAGAGGCAGCGGAGGGGAAUAUUGGACAAUGGGCGCGAGGCUGAGACGGCCAGGCGGCGUGAGUGAUGAAGGCCUUAGAGUUGUAAAGCUCUUUUGUCCGAGACGAUAAUGACGGUACCGGAAGAAUAAGCCCCGGCUAACUUCGUG
rnacentral:rRNA from 1 species